rnacentral:lncRNA from 1 species
AGAAAUGACUUAUUUAAAAUGCUAAGACUUUCGAGACUGACAUAGUACCACAAUCUGUGCCCAAAAGUAUGGUCCAGGAGUUCCCGUCGUUGCACAGCGGAAACGAAUCCAACUAGGAACCAUGAGGUUUCGGGUUCGAUCCCUGGCCUUGAUCAGUGGGUUAAGGAUCUGGCUUUGCCAUGAGCUCCAGUGUAAGUUGCAGAUUCGGCUCGGAUCUGGCAUUGCUGUGGCUCUGGUGUAGGCCGGCAGCUACAGCUCUGAUUAGACCCUUGACCUGGGAACCUCCAUAUGCUGCGGGAGCGGCCAAAGAAAUAGCAAAAAGACAAAAAAUAAAAAUAAAAAUAAAGGAGAGUUGCUGUCCUUCUGACAUUCUGCGUAGUUUCAGUUGUAUGCCGCGUCCCCCGCCCCCCCCUUGUUCUAGUCCUCCAUAUUUCAAAUUUGUGUAUAUGUUCCUCUGUCUAAGCUUUGCACUAUCUCCACUCAAAUCCUUUGUCUUCUUUGAGAUAGCUCUGUUUUUUUUUUUGUUUGUUUGUUUUGUUUUGUUUUGUUUUGAUUAACAGCNUUUCUUGGGCCGCUCCUGCGGCAUAUGGAGGUUCCCGGGCUAGGGGUCGAAUCCGAGCUGUAGCUGCCGCCUACACCACAGCCACAGCAGCGCGGGAUCCGAACCUCAUCUGCAACCUACACCACAGCUAAGGCAACUCCGGAUCCUUAACCCACUGAGCAAGGCCAGGGAUCGAACUCCCAACCUCAUGGUUCCUAGUUUGAUUCGUUAACCACUGAGCCACAAUGGGAACUCCUGAGAUAGCGCUUUUCUUGACUUUCUGUCUCUUCAUGAUUUAUAAUCUGUGCUUCCUUUGUGCCCCUCCAAUUUCCUGUACUAAUGUUGGAGCAUUAAUUGCGCAUUGUAAUUUCCUCCUAACUUCUUUGGGAAUCGGGAGCUGGUAAUCAGGUGCCAGGUGCUGUAGUGUAGACAGUAGAUAUGAUUAAUAGGAAUUUAGCAGAAGUCAAAGAUUAUUGGGUAAAUUAUUUAGGAAAGUCCUCAUGGAGGAAUAUGGUGCUUGAAUUGGACCUCAAAGGAAGCAUUCAUGAAGAUACAGUAAUGAUCUGCCAUUGUAGGUAGAUUAAAUCUGUUGAAUACCCUUGGAUCUAGUCUUGUGAGGAUCCAUUCUAUGGGAAAAAGCCAUGACAAAAGUGAGAUAGAUGUACAUUCUUCAGCAUUGCUUUUGCAUGACUUAAUGAAACAAGCAGUGGACACCAUCACUCCUAUAGGAGAAAAGCAUGGAGAGAAUUUACAAAAGAUUUUUUUUUUUUUUUUUGCUUUUUAGGCCCACACCUGUGUUAUAUGGAAGUUCCCAGACUAGGGGUCGAAUCGGAGCUGUAGCCGAUGGCCUACACUGCAGCCACAGCAACACCAGAUAGAAGCCACAUCUGCGACCUACACCAUAGCUCACAGCAGCACUGGAUCCUUAACCCACUGAGUGAGGCCAGGGAUCAAACCUGCAUCCUCAUGGAUACUAGUCAGAUCUGUUUCUGCUGAGUCAGGACAAGGGCUCCCCACACAGCAUUUUCUAAUCUCUUACUCUGAGGUGGACAUAGGAGAGUUUUACCCCGUUUUCUGCAGAGCAGGGACGGGCCUCCCAGGAAAUCAGUAGCAAAACUGUGGCUCAUUGGCUCCAUCACGGUUUCCUCUAAUAUUUUUAGGCCAUGCUCCCUCUGAUGCAUGAAAAAAAGCCUCAUUUCCCCACCCCAGGAAUUUCUAAUAACUCACCCGUGGGGAGGAGGGCAGAAAUCUACCUCCCAAGUUGAGGUUCACUGCAUCUUCGGCCAAGCUGUUGAAUUUUACUUUCGACAGCUUGAGAUAUAAUUUGAACUCUGAAAAAUCAAAGUUGUCCUUAUUUCCCAAGUAUGAAAUACCAUAACAUUGGAACAUUUAAAACCAUACCACAGGAGUACCCUUUGUGGCUCAGCAGUAACGAACCACAACAGGAAGUCCCACAAAAGAUUUUUAAAGAACCUAGUUGUAUUGGAGUACCCUUGUGGUGCAGCAGGUUAAGGAUCCUGAAUUAUCACCUCUGUGGCUUGGGUUUGAUCCCUGGCUAGGAACUUCCAUGUGCUAUGGGCAUGGCUAAAAAACCCAAAACUUCUAUAUAUGCUAAUUUCAGAGUUUACCACCUACCUUUGUAAAAUCCUACUGGGCUUCUGAUGGAAAAUGCAGCAACAACUAGGUGAUUCCUGAAUAGGUUAUAGAAUCUUCCAUAAGACUCUUGUAUAUAGUGUUGGAGAGAAUGGCCUGAGUAGUCUGCCCAUGUCGUGACUGUCUCUGCUGUCUUAACUGACAGUACAAGUGGGGACUUUAAGCUCUUUUCACUAUGUUUGCAGCAUGUUGGCACUCAGUAAAUGUUUGCAUCCAUAAAGAAAAUGUCAAGAUUGAAAUACAAUUUCUUGCAUUUUCAGUAUUUUUAAGAUGUCUUAGAAUAGCUGUUUAAAAGUAAAAAAUGCAUUUCUUGUGUUUCGAAACACAGUGCUGAUUUAAAACUAUUUAUGAAAGUUUGCUUUGCCUGUUAGGUAAAAAGACUAGACCUAGCAAAAAAAAAAAAAAAAAAAAA